UGCAGUCGACGGUAACAGGGAGCUUGCUCCGCUGACGAGUGGCGAACGGGUGAGUAAUACAUCGGAACGUGCCCAGUAAUGGGGGAUAGCUCGGCGAAAGCCGGAUUAAUACCGCAUACGCCCUGAGGGGGAAAGUGGGGGACCGCAAGGCCUCACGUUAUUGGAGCGGCCGAUGGCUGAUUAGCUAGUUGGUAGGGUAAAGGCCUACCAAGGCGACGAUCAGUAGCUGGUCUGAGAGGACGAUCAGCCACACUGGGACUGAGACACGGCCCAGACUCCUACGGGAGGCAGCAGUGGGGAAUUUUGGACAAUGGGGGAAACCCUGAUCCAGCAAUGCCGCGUGUGCGAAGAAGGCCUUCGGGUUGUAAAGCACUUUUGUCAGGGAAGAAAUCCUUUGGGCUAAUACCCUAGGGGGAUGACGGUACCUGAAGAAUAAGCACCGGCUAACUACGUGCCAGCAGCCGCGGUAAUACGUAGGGUGCAAGCGUUAAUCGGAAUUACUGGGCGUAAAGCGUGCGCAGGCGGUUGUGUAAGACAGGUGUGAAAUCCCCGGGCUUAACCUGGGAAUUGCAUUUGUGACUGCACGACUAGAGUGUGUCAGAGGGGGGUGGAAUUCCACGUGUAGCAGUGAAAUGCGUAGAUAUGUGGAGGAACACCAAUGGCGAAGGCAGCCCCCUGGGAUAACACUGACGCUCAUGCACGAAAGCGUGGGGAGC
rnacentral:rRNA from 1 species